rnacentral:rRNA from 1 species
GACGAACGCUGGCGGCGUGCUUAACACAUGCAAGUCGAACGGAAAGGCCCUUCUUUUGUGGGUUGCUCGAGUGGCGAACGGGUGUGUAACACGUGAGUAACCUGCCCUUGACUUUGGGAUAACUUCAGUAAACUGGGGCUAAUACCGGAUAGGAGCUCCUGCUGCAUGGUGUGGGUUGGAUAGUUUCGGCGUUUGGGGAUGGACUCGCGGCUUAUCAGCUUGUUGGUGGGGUAGUGGCUUACCAAGGCUUUGACGGGUAGCCGACCUGAGAGGGUUACCGGCCACAGUGGGACUGAGAUACGGCCCAGACUACUACGGGAGGCAGCAGGGGGGAAUAUUGCACAAGGGGCGGAAGGCUGAUGCAGAAACGCAGCGGGCGGGAUGACGGCCUUCGGGUUGUAAAACGCAUUCGCAUGUGACGAAGCGUGAGUGACGGUAAUGGGUAAAGAAGCACCGGCUAACUACGUG